rnacentral:rRNA from 1 species
UACGGAGGAUGCGAGCGUUAUCCGGAUUUAUUGGGUUUAAAGGGUGCGUAGGCGGGCUUUUAAGUCAGCGGUAAAAAUUCGGGGCUCAACCCCGUCCGGCCGUUGAAACUGGGGGCCUUGAGUGGGCGAGAAGAAGGCGGAAUGCGUGGUGUAGCGGUGAAAUGCAUAGAUAUCACGCAGAACCCCGAUUGCGAAGGCAGCCCUCCGGCGCCCUACUGACGCUGAGGCACGAAAGUGCGGGGAUCGAACAGG